GGGGUUGUGGUCUAGUGGUAUGACAUCUUCUUAGCACUGCUCUUCCGAGCAUUACUGAGUGGAGAAGGUUCUGGGUUCGAUUCCCAGCUACUCCA
rfam:Aureobasidium namibiae CBS 147.97 unplaced genomic scaffold scaffold_6, whole genome shotgun sequence.